rnacentral:snoRNA from 1 species
AAUGUCUUUCACCUGACAUAAAUCUAGGUUCAUGGUGACAAGGGGCACAAAACUUGCAGCCUUCCUGAGAACAAACACCCAACACAU